UUCUGUGACUAAUUUUGUGACAAAACUGUAAGAGAAAAUCCCAUGAAAUAUAUACAAUAUAAAUUGUGAACAUCGCAUCUUCAAUACAUUUAUACCGUGCUACGCGUUGACCUGCUGCGACGGCAUUCCUCACUGCUAAGGUUUUCUCCUUGACACCAUCACUGUUGGGCAUAUUAGUGCAGGCUCCUUGGGACCAGUCCACACUAAAUACUAUGUAGCCUUUCUGUAAAAGGGCGUCAUAUAUUCAGUCCUGUUACUCGUGCGAAUAUGUGGUAUCUACCUGUGUCAAUGCAGUGGCCACGACUGGAAAAUUAU